GUAAGGAAUAUUGGUCAAUGGGGGCAACCCUGAACCAGCCAUGCCGCGUGAAGGAUGAAGGCGUUAUGCGUUGUAAACUUCUUUUGUAUGGGAAGAAUGACAGGGAUUUAUCCUUGGAGAGACGGUACCAUACGAAUAAGCACCGGCUAACUCCGUGCCAGCAGCCGCGGUAAUACGGAGGGUGCAAGCGUUAUCCGGAAUCAUUGGUUUUAAAGGGUACGCAGGCGGGCUAUCAAGUCAGAGGUGAAAUCCCACAUGUUAACUGUGGAACUGCCUUUGAAACUGAUGGUCUUGAAUUAAGUGGGCGUUGGCGGAAUAUGACAUGUAGCGGUGAAAUGCAUAGAUAUGUCAUGGAACACCGAAAGCGAAGGCAGCUAACGAUACUUAUAUUGACGCUCAUGGACGAAAGCGUGGGUAGCGAACAGGAUUAGAUACCCUGGUAGUCC
rnacentral:rRNA from 1 species